rnacentral:rRNA from 1 species
UACGUAGGGUGCAAGCAUUAAUCGGAGUUAUUGGGCGUAAAGGGCGCGUAGGCGGAUAUAUAAGUCAGGUGUGAAAUACCAAGGCUCAACCUUGGUGCUGCAUUUGAAACUGUAUGUCUAGAGGAUUGGCGGAGAAAGCGGAAUUCCACGUGUAGCGGUGAAAUGCGUAGAUACGUGGAGGAACACCGGUGGCGAAAGCGGCUUUCUAGCUUUUACCUGACGCUGAGGCGCGAGAGCAAGGGGAGCAAACAGG